UACGUAGGCAGCAAGCGUUGUUCGGAGUUACUGGGCGUAAAGGGCGCGUAGGCGGCCUACUAAGUCAGACGUGAAAUUCCCCGGCUUAACCUGGGAACUGCGUCUGAUACUGGAAGGCUUGAGGAUGGGAGAGGGAUGUAGAAUUCCAGGUGUAGCGGAUGAAAUGCGUAGAUAUCUGGAGGAAUACCGGUGGCGAAGGCGGCAUCCUGGACCAUUACUGA
rnacentral:rRNA from 1 species